AUGGAGGGUGCCGAAGAGAAGAAAAAGAAGAAAAAAGAAAGAAAGAAAAAGCGAAGAAAUUUCGCGGAGCUGAAGAUCAAAUGCAAGAGAGAGAAAUUUGGCCAAAAGAUGCUUCGAAAAGCAAGGAGGAAGCUUAUCUAUGAAAAAGCUAAGCGUUAUCACAAGAAUACAGGUAGAUGUACAGAACUGAGAUUCAAAUGGCUAGGACAGCAAGAAAAGCAGGCAACUUUUAUGUACCUGCAGAACCCAAAUUGGCAUCUGUCAUCAGGAUUCGAGGUAUCAAUGGUGUGAGCCCAAAGAUUGAAAGGUGUUGCAGCCUCUUCACCUUCGCCAGAUCUUCAGUGGAACCUUUGUUAAGCUCAACAAGGCUUUAAUUAACCUGCCGAGGAUUGUAGAACCAUAUAUUGCAUGGGGGUACACAAACCUAAAGUCAGUAAAUGAACUAAUCUACAAGCGUGGUUAUGGCAAAAUCAAUAAGAAACGAAAUGCGUUGACAGAUAACGAUUUGAUUGCUCGAUCUCUUGGUAAAUAUGGAAUCAUCUUCAUGGAGGAUCUGAUUCAUGAGAUCUAUACUGUUGGGAAACGCUUCGAAGAAGCAAAUAAUUUCCUGUGGCCCUUCAAGUUAUCAUCUCCACGGGGUGGAAUGAAGAAAAAG